rnacentral:rRNA from 1 species
UACGGAGGGGGCUAGCGUUGUUCGGAAUUACUGGGCGUAAAGCGCACGUAGGCGGCUUUGUAAGUUAGAGGUGAAAGCCCAGGGCUUAACCCUGGAAUUGCCUUUAAGACUGCAUCGCUAGAAUCGUGGAGAGGUGAGUGGAAUUCCGAAUGUAGAGGUGAAAUUCGUAGAUAUUCGGAAGAACACCAGUGGCGAAGGCGACUCACUGGACACGUAUUGACGCUGAGGUGCGAAAGCGUGGGGAGCAAACAGG